GAAACUGGGAGGGCAUUUGGUGGGGAGAUCGGUCACGUGCCGUUUAUCGCCAAGGUUGACUGGCUGGUCUGCUGGCUAUGUGAGUGAUACCUUCCUCCCUCGCUACUUCAUGGUCCUCCUUUCUGUCAGUGCAUGCUUGAUUAAGGAGAGUGCCCUUCCCCCACAAAAUAGGCUUCUUCCCCAGCCAAGGGCAUGUUAGUAGCUGCACUCCCUGCUCCAACCUCCAGACAAGCAAACUAGCUCUCUGGGCUCACUUAUAGGAGAACAUUAGGUAGUCAGAGUUGUUUUUAGAGAGAGAAAAAUAAUCCAAUAAGCUUAUU
rnacentral:snRNA from 1 species